AAAAGAAAAUGUCUUUUUAUUUACACACAAUACAUGAAGAAAAUCCCAAAUAAGACCCAGCUGGCCAGAAAUACAGUGCACAUUCCACAUCCAGAGGGCAGAAAUGCUCAGUCACUCUGUGUACUCUAAAGCACCCAGGCUCUAGAGAAGGGGUCCUACUUACUAAGAAUGCCCUCAGUGCCACAUACUAGCUGCAAAGAACACACGGGAGCUGGGAGAAACUAUAUACACUUCAAAUACAAAUAACCAGUUACAGGACUUUAUAAUAAUUACAGUGGCAUUUUUGUACAUCCCAUGAGUUGAGCAGAGAGAGUGUAAAGUGUGAGCUGGAAAACCCUUCAGUGAAAUGAAGGAGCUGCAGAUCUUUCUGUCCUGCACCCCUUCUUUGCUGAGGAAGAAGAGGUUCUGGAAGGUGAUGGGAACCCACAGGCUGAUAGAAUAAGAAAAGUUCCCAUCUCCAUCCACUUGACAUUCUGGAGUGUAAGGCACUAGAACUGGGCUUGGAGAGGUUCUCCGGUUCCUGAUAUGCAAAGGAAAACUUGGUGAAUAUGCUAAAAAUACCCUCCCCUCUUGUAGUUUCUGCCCUUCAUGACCAGAAAACAAGGCAGAGAUGUUUGCAAAGGAUUAAAAAUGGGUGCAUCAAAAUAUGAGGAAAUGGCUAGUGAAGAAAUGAGUAAUUCUUUGAGAUGCAGUUUGCCUUUUUAGAGGUCAAGCAUCCUAUCAUACAGGGAGUAGUGCUUAUGUAUAAUGGACAAAAACAUACAAAAAUAGUCCAUUCUUAUGAAAAACAGUACACUGGAAGUGAUAAGGAACUGUAGCAGCAAGCCCCAUACUGGCAUGAAUAUGGGAACUUUCAACUCAGCACCUUGGAGUCCAAAAAUGGUGGUGGGGGGGGGGGGGGUAGUGCUGCCAUGCUGCCCAACAGAGCCAUGGCUUACCACUUCUGACAGCCAGAGGCCAUGGUUAGAGCUCAAACAUCCUGUACCCUUUCUACUCACAUGCUUCUGAAUCUGUGUGCCUGAAGAUGAACCUUCUUUAUCUGUAAGAAAAAUGUACCUGUGAUGUGUUGAUAAAUUAUAUAUCAACAUUCCUGAGGGGUAUGUUGGGAGUGUGAUUCAGAAACUAUAGUGGCAGAAGGAUACAAUUCAGUGUUAGCCACUUUUCAGUUAAGCAGAGCUCUUACAUACUACAGAGGAGCCUUGUUGACUACCUGUCCAAGAAGCAACAGAUGAAAUGAACCUCACCCUUCCAACAAGUGAUACCACUGCUGUACUCUGGGACACAGAAUCACAGGGCUAGUAUUAAGAUUGCUAGCCUAGAACAUUCUUUGCUAUCUGUUACAGGUCCUCCGAGGAUGAAGAUGCAUUCAAAUGCCAACAGAUGUAUCCAUAAUCUAGAGGAUAAACAGAGCUAAAAAAUCUCUUCAAUGAGGCAGAGCACACUUAGAAGCUCCUGACACUCAUUUCCGUACUGCCACUGCUACCCACAGGAUGGAAGAGGAAGGAGGCCAAUGAGGAGGACUGGAAUGGUGCGAGCACAGUUGACAGAACACGAAUGUCUUGAGCACUGGUACCUGCUUCCAUCUUCACAGAAACAUGUAAGCAUCAGUAAGUGAACAAAAGUUUACCCAAAUUCAGUUUCUUCUAUUGACUAGAUGAAGAGGCUAUUCUGGACACUUGAAAACAGAAUGAGAGACAGCCAGGAUAGAAGACUAUGGAAAUGGGAAGAUCAGAUACAGACCUGCUGAGAAGACAGCAGGAAGCCUGGACUGACAAGGUGACAGCAGAGUUUUUCUCCUCUGAGGUACUGGUGAUUAAGUCCUUGUGAGAAAAAACUACAGACCUCCAAAUAAAACUGAAAGAAAAAAGCUUUCCCAACAGAUGGCAAAUUAAAACUUAAGGUAACAUAUCAACUUCAAGAACUCGCAACUCUUUAAUAACUGAAUCCAGACACAUUGAACAGAAUGAAAUUGCAAAGAAUUCAGAAGUCUUGAAAAGUCUUGUUUUGAAAAUGAUCAGUAAUCUCAAGAAAAUUUAAAUGAACAAAAUGAAUUAAGGUAAAACCUGGACAUAAGCAUCAAGAACUUGGAUGAAAAUUUCAACUUGGGAAAAAUAGUAAUAUAAGAACAUCCAAAGCUUAAUAAAUCAAAAUAUUCCAAGGAAAACAUCAAGUAGACCAGGUUGCACAAAGACUAUGAAGUACUGACACUAGGAGAGAAGAGUUGUUACACUCAGAUGACAAAAAAGUUCAAGAUGGUGAAAUUCCUUCCUGUAGCUUAUCUCAAUUCUCAAGGCCCAGUCAUACACAACUCUCCAAAUCUGCAGGUGCUC